UCGCCUGAAAUUACAAAUUGCAUCGAUCCGAUCGAAUUGGAACAUCGACGUUCAAUUUCACGGAUAUAAAAUCGGAUUGAAUCUAGGAAAAUACCUGUGGUAUCAGGGUCAGACCUACUGUCAAUCCCGCAACCAGGUCACCCAAUGCGUCCUUCGUUUUGUACAGCGUUUCAGCACAUCGUGUCAACUUGAAAUUCUGAAAAUAUAACACGAUCCAAUGACGAAGAUCUGAACGAAGGAAGAAGUUCGAUUUCGAGUUUCAAUUGGCAGAUCGUCAUAAUUCAUCGGCCUGUCUUCUUAAUAUGCGAGCUGCAUCGCCUCAUUAACUGGCAUCGCAAUCGUCGUUUCAAUGUCUCGCCGAUGAAACAACAAGCGGGCAAUUAACGAAUUUUCGAGCGACAAUUAGUAAGUGAUUUUACGCGCGAGAACACGAUUUAACGUCACUAACUGAGCGGUGGUCACGUGUGAUCGUUUAAGCACGUGAUUUUCCAGUUUUCCUCGUCGACAGUUACCGCGGAAAUCGUUAAUAUCUCACUGUACCGUUCAUUAUAACAGUUUUCAAAUUCCAGUUUCACUUUCAUCUGUCACGAAGAAAGUUAUCGCAAGGUAUAACCGCGAUGAACCAGUUUGUGCACCAAAGCAAGUGAGGAUCCGAUGAUCUCGAAGGAAUCACGAUGAAGAAAUGAAGAAAUGUCGGUGGACGAAAUGUUUGUUGGACGAAAGAAGAUUAACGAUUGAUGCGGUACCUCGUACCUGCUCUAUACACUGAUUAAAUCUACAGCUGUUUCACACGUGCCUUGUUCCCCCACUUUGAAAUGUCAGGAUGCGAACGCAUGCGUCAAUCCUUCCCUAAAUGAAUACUGGGUUCGGCAAAAUUAUCGUUAAUUAACCGAACAACGAACGAAUCUUUUUUUCAACCGACCCGUAUACAAAUUUUUAACAUUUUUAUUGUUGAUUCUAUUCAUUCAUUUAACGUUUUUAUCUUAUACCUUGACCUACACAUUUCUCGCAUCCUGUCUUUUCAUAUUUCAUAUCAUUACGUUCAUUAUUAUUUCGUUCUUUAACUAAUUAGUAAAAUUGUAGGGAACAUGUUGCAAUUUUUGUUUAUUUCUUUUAUUAAUUAUAUUUCGUUUGAUAAUAGAUACGAACGAAUCGAGCAACAAGUUGCUACCAUUAUAUUGCAUACUUUUUUGGGAUUAAAUAUGAUCAACAAUGUAAUCUUACAAUUUUGCAUAUGUGAUAUUAUUCAAUAGAUUUUAAAUUUUCUAAACACGUAUUAACAUAAAAUAAUCAUAUAAUUUUUCAUCGUUAGGAAUUCUAUUCUUUGCAUUUUAAAUGAAAUAAAAAUUCAUGCGUGAUCUUGUAUUUUUUAAUUUAAUUAACUUAUUAUUAAAAACAUAAGAUUUAGAUUGAAAUGAUAUCAGCAGUUAAAUAGUAGAUAACAAUUUUGCACGACGAUGAUUUCACACUGCGUCAAAUCUCAUCUCGUAUCAUUUCGCACUAUGUUAAUUUCAUCUGUAUCAUUAGAUGUAAAGUCUCAAAAAGAUUGCAUCGUUGACCUGCAUCAAUUUUUAAUUUUAAAAUAAGAAAAAUUUGCAGGAACGAUAAAAGUGAUUAUGACACUUGGCGUGACUACUUGCCUCUGCAAUUACGCUCGUAACGUAACGCGCCAAUAAUGAAUAAAUGUUUAUGAAAAGUGUAUCGGUGUGGAUUUUACACAGAAACAAAAGCAACGUGUUGGUAGAAACAACUCACCACGGAUGCUCGAUUGUUCCAGAACGGGAUUCCUUUCGUGGAUUAUCGUGGAAUGUGUCAAUUGCUUCGACGACGGAUACGUUCCGCUACACUUUUCUUUCUCAUUCGAAUCCUUUUUAACGGUGAACUUCUUGUUCCAAGAGAAUGGUUGAAAUUCUUAUCGUCGUAUGCCGAACAUCGUGUACAUGACUGUAAUUACAAGGACGUCGCGUGGUCUUGAACGACUAUGUGUUUUGCAUGUUAACGGAGCAAGCGUAACGAUGAAUCCGUGAAAGUAAACCAGAAAUUAUUGUUUGAUGAAAAUUUGCCAUGAAAUUUUUUUAAUUUUCAAUCCAAGAACUCGAUGGUGUAGUAGAAAAAUAUGGUUGAAAAGUUGAAAACGUUAGAAAAGGAUGUAAAGACUAUGAAAAAAAUUGCAAUCGUGUUAGUUUUAUCCGCAGUAAUGAAUAUUAAAGAAUAGCGGAAUAUGUAAAACGCGGCGUAAUUAUUUGUUUAAAUACAAGUGUUCAAACAUCGCGAACAAGAUCAUUUUUCACGGAAGACAAUAAAUUUAUUCUCAAAUUGACGUUUUAUCGAAAAGAGAGAAAAAUGAUUGAUGGACACAUUCGCGACUAGAUGUACAUCUAAUACUAAAAAUAAAAAUUGUGUCUCACUAGUUUUUAGUUAGUUUAGUUAAAUUCGACAUGUUUAACUAUAAACUUUCAAUAUCGUUCUAUUGCUAAUUGUCUUAUUUUUAAAAACAAUUUUCGAAACGAAAGUGUAUAUCUCUAAAAUGAUCGAUAAAAGUUUAAACCAGCAUUUUUAAAAAUAUCACAAUAUAUAUACGUUAUUUACUUACACGAUGACUAAUAAUUGAAAUUUGAGUAUAAUAUUAACUCUUGAGAGAAUUGCAAAUAAAAUGGUUUGUGAUUAUUUUUACACCUAUAUAAAGAAAAUGUAAAUCAUAAUUUAUUAUAUUUGAUUAGUUUAAUAUUAUUUUUAUAUUUUUAGAAAACACUUUUUCUAAAUUUUUCUACUAUUUUACAUUAUCACUUAGUAAUGCGAUAUAUUAUUCAUCGUUUUGAUUGAUUAGAUGCGAAAAUUUUCAGUUUCUAUGUCUCGUUAAUUUUCUAGUGUCACUGUUUCGUUUGAUUUAGACUUAUACGUGUCUACUUGUUUGCUCAUUGCCUUAGACUAUGUUUGUGUUUCUCCUUAUUUACAAAAAUAAUUAGGCGUUUUAAAAAUACUUAUCAUUCAUAGAUUAAACAUGCAAAUAGAAAUUGAACCAAUCGUCCUAAAGAUAUAAGUAGUUUAAUUAGUAAUGUUUCAAUAAUCUUUUACUUCAGUAUGAUUCAGUUAAUAUUAUAAAAUAAAGUACUAGUAAAGAUAAUCAUCAGGUAUGAUCAGGUAAAAAAAUUCAAGAAAUGAUUGGAGAAUUUUAAUAAGUCAUUUAAGCUUAAUCAAUAAAAGAGCUAUUCUCAGAAAUAAUAGAGAAACUCAUUUGAAAUCAAUUAGCGAAUGAAAAACAUAGAAUUAUCUAAAAUAACGAAUAAUUAUUUUUAUUCCUUAUUUCAUUUUCACUUGUAUGAAAAUAUUUUUGACAACGAUAUGUUUAUUGAGAUUUAUUGAUACUACAAUACUGAAUUUAAAAAAUGGUUUAAUCCAGGAUCAAAUGGAAAAUUUUCUGAAGAAUUUGAUUAUCUACAAUUUGCCUCUUUCAACUUGCUAAAAUGAUUCUAGACGAUCAAUGUGAAUUUCGCUAAGUAAAAUUAUAAUUUUCGAACAUAGUUGUCAAAAAAAAAAUUGUUUGCAAAAUUUACAAUGGAAUUUUCAUAUAAUUUAUUUUUAAUUUUAAAAAAUAAUAUGUAGUUCAAUAUUCAAAAUUGUUCGAUAAAAGAGCGAUAUUACAAUAUACUUCAACAAUUCCGUAUUUAUUUUAUUUUACUUUGAAGUAUUGUAAAAAAUGAUGUUUUGCUCAUAUAUAGACGAUUGAAAGUUGCAAUACCAGUAUUGUAUUAAGCAAUAUUUUAUAUGUUAAUUCCGAUUUGAUGAUAUUUGAUUUCAGAUGUUACGUUAUUAGAUAACCGACGACUUUCAGUUAGUAAAAGUUUCUAAUUAAGAAUUAAUAAAAUUUUACAUUAAAAAAUA